rnacentral:misc_RNA from 1 species
AGGGCAUGAAACAGUGCAGUGUAGUGAAAUCUGAUCUCUAACCUUAGCAAAGCAGUAACGUCUAGAUCUAUGUGGACAGGAAUACUCACAGAGAGGAGAAAGUAUGGUGUAUCUAGAAUGGCCUCAAUAGAAGAUAGCAAGAUAAGGUUGCCUUUUAAAUGUAGCACAACCAAUGCAUGAAAAUUAUUUUCACCUAACCUCCU